GGAGUACGGUCGCAAGGCUGAAACUCAAAGGAAUNGACGGGGGCCCGCACAAGACGGUGGAGCAUGUGGUUUAAUUCGACGCAACGCGAAGAACCUUACCUGGGCUCGAAAUGUACAGGAAUCCGGUAGAAAUAUCGGCGCCCAGCAAUGGGCCUGUAUAUAGGUGCUGCAUGGCUGUNGUCAGCUCGUGUCGUGAGAUGUUGGGUUAAGUCCCGCAACGAGCGCAACCCUUACCUCCAGUUGCCACCAUUCAGUUGGGCACUCUGGCGGAACCGCCUCGGAUAACGGGGAGGAAGGUGGGGAUGACGUCAAGUCCUCAUGGCCUUUAUGUCCAGGGCUACACACGUGCUACAAUGGCCGGUACAAACCGUUGCAAACCCGCGAGGGGGAGCUAAUCGGAAAAAGCCGGCCUCAGUUCGGAUCGCAGUCUGCAACUCGACUGCGUGAAGCUGGAUAUCGCUAGUAAUCGCGGAUCAGAA
rnacentral:rRNA from 1 species